GUUUCAGCGUGGGCGUGAGCCUGUAAUCUAACUACUUGGAGGCCAGGGUGCGGGAUUUCGUGGGACCGGGAGUUUGGCAUAUGGGUGCUCAUGUUGAUCGGGCGUCCACGUUAAGCACGGAUGACCUGUCGGAGGGUGGGUUGUCCAGGUCGUCUAAAGAGGGGCGAACCAGCCCAGGGGGGAAACCCGGCAGGCAAAAGUCCCCGCGUGGUGCGGUAGCAUAAAAGCCUCCAAAUGCCCUGGUAUGGCCGAGAGUUGAGAGAUUCUACGCUCCCUCUCGAAAUCCGCCCACAU
rnacentral:SRP_RNA from 1 species